UCCUGGUUAACCCAGGCAGUCUCGUUAGAGUUCCCGCCACUACGCGCUGGCAACUAACGAUAAGGGUUGCGCUCGUUGCUGGACUUAACCAAACACCUCACGGCACGAGCUGACGACAGCCAUGCAGCACCUAUAUAAAGACCCUUUCGAGCUGCACAAUCUCUUGUGCAUUCCUCUACAUUUCGAGCCCAGGUAAGGUUCUUCGCGUUGCAUCGAAUUAAACCACAUGCUCCACUGCUUGUGCGGGCCCCCGUCAAUUCUUUUGAGUUUCACCCUUGCGAGCGUACUCCUCAGGCGGCAUACUUAAUGCGUUAGCUCCGGUACAGAAAGGGUUGAGCCUCCCUACACCUAGUAUGCAUCGUUUAAGGCUAGGACUAC
rnacentral:misc_RNA from 1 species